UACGAAGGGUGCAAGCGUUACUCGGAAUUACUGGGCGUAAAGCGUGCGUAGGUGGUUUGUUAAGUCUGAUGUGAAAUCCCCGGGCUCAACCUGGGAAUGGCAUUGGAUACUGGCAGGCUAGAGUGCGGUAGAGGGUGGUGGAAUUCCCGGUGUAGCAGUGAAAUGCGUAGAGAUCGGGAGGAACAUCUGUGGCGAAGGCGGCCACCUGGACCAGCACUGACACUGAGGCGCGACAGCGUGGGGAGCAAACAGG
rnacentral:rRNA from 1 species